rnacentral:rRNA from 1 species
CCCAGACUCCUACGGGAGGCAGCAGUGGGGGAUAUUGCACAAUGGGGGAAACCCUGAUGCAGCAACGCCGCGUGAGUGAUGAAGGUCUUCGGAUUGUAAAACUCUGUUCUUGGUGAAGAUAAUGACGGUAGCCAAGGAGAAAGCUCCGGCUAACUACGUGCCAGCAGCCGCGGUAAUACGUAGGGAGCGAGCGUUGUCCGGAAUUACUGGGUGUAAAGGGAGCGUAGGCGGGGAUGCAGGUUGGGUGUUAAAUCUACCGGCUCAACUGGUAGUCGCACUCAAAACUGCAGCUCUUGAGUGAAGUAGAGGCAGGCGGAAUUCCUAGUGUAGCGGUGAAAUGCGUAGAUAUUAGGAGGAACACCAGUGGCGAAGGCGGCCUGCUGGGCUUUUACUGACGCUGAGGCUCGAAAGUGUGGGGAGCAAACAGGAUUAGAUACCCCCGUA